UACGUAGGGACCAAGCGUUGUUCGGAUUUACUGGGCGUAAAGGGCUCGUAGGCGGCCAACUAAGUCAGACGUGAAAUCCCUCGGCUUAACCGGGGAACUGCGUCUGAUACUGGAUGGCUAGAGGUUGGGAGAGGGAUGCGGAAUUCCAGGUGUAGCGGUGAAAUGCGUAGAUAUCUGGAGGAACACCGGUGGCGAAGGCGGCAUCCUGGACCAAUUCUGACGCUGAGGAGCGAAAGCCAGGGGAGCAAACGGG
rnacentral:rRNA from 1 species